rnacentral:lncRNA from 1 species
CUUCUUAGGAAUCUAGAUUCCCUUAUGGAGCUGACAUGAGGUGAGGUGAACACAGACGGUAUAGAUGCAAAACUAAGGGAAUUGAGCGUCUGAGUAAAGUUUGCAGACUUAUCUAGUUUGAUGGGGGAAAGGUUGUUAAGGAAAUUAAAAACGGGGGACUCCUGCAUAUAGAGAGAGAGAGAGGUUUGCGGACUUAUCUAGUUUGAUGGGGGAAAGGUUGUUAAGGAAAUUAAAAACGGGGGACUCCUGCAUAUAGAGAGAGAGAGAGAGAAAAGACCAUUAGAUAGCAAGAGAUCAAGAAUCCAAGAAAACAAGCUAGGUGAUAUUUUCAUCAAAACUGGGUUUCAGCAUUUCUACCAAGGAACAAGCUUGACCCUUUUCCGAAUGAUAUAUUUAUCUUUAAUCCAUAUGCAAAAGAACAGUAAAGGAUAUCAAGUAAAUGUCAGAGAUAAU